rnacentral:rRNA from 1 species
UACGUAGGGGGCAAGCGUUGUCCGGAUUCAUUGGGCGUAAAGAGCGUGUAGGCGGUCAGGUAGGUCGGUUGUGAAAACUGGAGGCUCAACCUUCAGACGUCGACCGAAACCAUCUGGCUAGAGUCCGGGAGAGGAGAGUGGAAUUCCUGGUGUAGCGGUGAAAUGCGCAGAUAUCAGGAAGAACACCAAUGGCGAAAGCAGCUCUCUGGGACGGUACUGACGCUGAGACGCGAAAGCGUGGGGAGCGAACAGG